rnacentral:tRNA from 1 species
GCCUUCGUGGUGUAACCGUUAGCACACUCGGCGCGUAUUCAAGAGAUCCAGGUUCGAGUCCUGGCGAAGGCA